UUAAGCGACUAAGCGUACACGGUGGAUGCCCUGGCAGUCAGAGGCGAUGAAGGACGUGCUAAUCUGCGAUAAGCGUCGGUAAGGUGAUAUGAACCGUUAUAACCGGCGAUUUCCGAAUGGGGAAACCCAGUGUGUUUCGACACACUAUCAUUAACUGAAUCCAUAGGUUAAUGAGGCGAACCGGGGGAACUGAAACAUCUAAGUACCCCGAGGAAAAGAAAUCAACCGAGAUUCCCCCAGUAGCGGCGAGCGAACGGGGAGGAGCCCAGAGCCUGAAUCAGUGUGUGUGUUAGUGGAAGCGUCUGGAAAGGCGCGCGAUACAGGGUGACAGCCCCGUACACAAAAAUGCACAUAUUGUGAGCUCGAUGAGUAGGGCGGGACACGUGGUAUCCUGUCUGAAUAUGGGGGGACCAUCCUCCAAGGCUAAAUACUCCUGACUGACCGAUAGUGAACCAGUACCGUGAGGGAAAGGCGAAAAGAACCCCGGCGAGGGGAGUGAAAAAGAACCUGAAACCGUGUACGUACAAGCAGUGGGAGCACGCUUAGGCGUGUGACUGCGUACCUUUUGUAUAAUGGGUCAGCGACUUAUAUUCUGUAGCAAGGUUAACCGAAUAGGGGAGCCGAAGGGAAACCGAGUCUUAACUGGGCGUUAAGUUGCAGGGUAUAGACCCGAAACCCGGUGAUCUAGCCAUGGGCAGGUUGAAGGUUGGGUAACACUAACUGGAGGACCGAACCGACUAAUGUUGAAAAAUUAGCGGAUGACUUGUGGCUGGGGGUGAAAGGCCAAUCAAACCGGGAGAUAGCUGGUUCUCCCCGAAAGCUAUUUAGGUAGCGCCUCGUGAAUUCAUCUCCGGGGGUAGAGCACUGUUUCGGCAAGGGGGUCAUCCCGACUUACCAACCCGAUGCAAACUGCGAAUACCGGAGAAUGUUAUCACGGGAGACACACGGCGGGUGCUAACGUCCGUCGUGAAGAGGGAAACAACCCAGACCGCCAGCUAAGGUCCCAAAGUCAUGGUUAAGUGGGAAACGAUGUGGGAAGGCCCAGACAGCCAGGAUGUUGGCUUAGAAGCAGCCAUCAUUUAAAGAAAGCGUAAUAGCUCACUGGUCGAGUCGGCCUGCGCGGAAGAUGUAACGGGGCUAAACCAUGCACCGAAGCUGCGGCAGCGACGCUUAUGCGUUGUUGGGUAGGGGAGCGUUCUGUAAGCCUGUGAAGGUGUACUGUGAGGUAUGCUGGAGGUAUCAGAAGUGCGAAUGCUGACAUAAGUAACGAUAAAGCGGGUGAAAAGCCCGCUCGCCGGAAGACCAAGGGUUCCUGUCCAACGUUAAUCGGGGCAGGGUGAGUCGACCCCUAAGGCGAGGCCGAAAGGCGUAGUCGAUGGGAAACAGGUUAAUAUUCCUGUACUUGGUGUUACUGCGAAGGGGGGACGGAGAAGGCUAUGUUGGCCGGGCGACGGUUGUCCCGGUUUAAGCGUGUAGGCUGGUUUUCCAGGCAAAUCCGGAAAAUCAAGGCUGAGGCGUGAUGACGAGGCACUACGGUGCUGAAGCAACAAAUGCCCUGCUUCCAGGAAAAGCCUCUAAGCAUCAGGUAACAUCAAAUCGUACCCCAAACCGACACAGGUGGUCAGGUAGAGAAUACCAAGGCGCUUGAGAGAACUCGGGUGAAGGAACUAGGCAAAAUGGUGCCGUAACUUCGGGAGAAGGCACGCUGAUAUGUAGGUGAAGUCCCUUGCGGAUGGAGCUGAAAUCAGUCGAAGAUACCAGCUGGCUGCAACUGUUUAUUAAAAACACAGCACUGUGCAAACACGAAAGUGGACGUAUACGGUGUGACGCCUGCCCGGUGCCGGAAGGUUAAUUGAUGGGGUCAGCGCAAGCGAAGCUCUUGAUCGAAGCCCCGGUAAACGGCGGCCGUAACUAUAACGGUCCUAAGGUAGCGAAAUUCCUUGUCGGGUAAGUUCCGACCUGCACGAAUGGCGUAAUGAUGGCCAGGCUGUCUCCACCCGAGACUCAGUGAAAUUGAACUCGCUGUGAAGAUGCAGUGUACCCGCGGCAAGACGGAAAGACCCCGUGAACCUUUACUAUAGCUUGACACUGAACAUUGAGCCUUGAUGUGUAGGAUAGGUGGGAGGCUUUGAAGUGUGGACGCCAGUCUGCAUGGAGCCGACCUUGAAAUACCACCCUUUAAUGUUUGAUGUUCUAACGUUGACCCGUAAUCCGGGUUGCGGACAGUGUCUGGUGGGUAGUUUGACUGGGGCGGUCUCCUCCUAAAGAGUAACGGAGGAGCACGAAGGUUGGCUAAUCCUGGUCGGACAUCAGGAGGUUAGUGCAAUGGCAUAAGCCAGCUUGACUGCGAGCGUGACGGCGCGAGCAGGUGCGAAAGCAGGUCAUAGUGAUCCGGUGGUUCUGAAUGGAAGGGCCAUCGCUCAACGGAUAAAAGGUACUCCGGGGAUAACAGGCUGAUACCGCCCAAGAGUUCAUAUCGACGGCGGUGUUUGGCACCUCGAUGUCGGCUCAUCACAUCCUGGGGCUGAAGUAGGUCCCAAGGGUAUGGCUGUUCGCCAUUUAAAGUGGUACGCGAGCUGGGUUUAGAACGUCGUGAGACAGUUCGGUCCCUAUCUGCCGUGGGCGCUGGAGAACUGAGGGGGGCUGCUCCUAGUACGAGAGGACCGGAGUGGACGCAUCACUGGUGUUCGGGUUGUCAUGCCAAUGGCACUGCCCGGUAGCUAAAUGCGGAAGAGAUAAGUGCUGAAAGCAUCUAAGCACGAAACUUGCCCCGAGAUGAGUUCUCCCUGACUCCUUGAGAGUCCUGAAGGAACGUUGAAGACGACGACGUUGAUAGGCCGGGUGUGUAAGCGCAGCGAUGCGUUGAGCUAACCGGUACUAAUGAACCGUGAGGCUUAACCUU
rnacentral:rRNA from 1 species